UGGAGACCUUGGGUCUAUAGGUCAUCUCCGUGAUGGCAGCAAAUGAAGGGAGGACCCACAGGAGCAGCAAUUAGGCAGUCAGCUUGGAGGCCAGCUCCCAACCCCACUGCUGGCCAGACUGGAAAUUUCUAAGAAGCCCCGCCAGUUGUCAUGAGGACCAUCCGUCAUCGCAAGAAUGAAUGAACGAACACAGACCUUUACUGCAUCACUAAUGGAAACCAGGCCCUGUGCCGAGUGGUUUUAGUAGCACAGUACAUGGAUAAAUGCAGCCCCCGAGGAUGCUGGAGUAGGCCUGCCAUAUGGGACUGCCUGGAACACAUCCGUUUCCCUGCACGGGUCGGCCUUCCCACCCUCCGGUCCUUCUCUCUGGCGAAGAAGGUGACGUGAGAUCCUAUUCCUUCCCUGUCUCUCGCCCUCCGGCUCAUCCCCGCAGCCACAAGGCUUGCACCUCUCCAGCCGCCUGGAUGCUGGUCC